UAGAGAGAGUUGUCUGAUAGAGUUAAAAAAACAAAUUGAACAAUAUAGAUCAGAUUCCAGUAAAAGCAACCAUAUCGGAUUCCCCCAAAAUGGUUCGGAUUUAUCUGAUCAUCUGUCUUUUUGUAAAAAAAAAAUUUCGACUUCCAUGGAUUUUUUUUUGGACAACCGACUUCCAUGGAUAAAUAAGUAUCGGUCUGGAUUCUUAAAAGAUUGAAUCGAUUAUGGAUCUUCUUGUACAGAUGGUAAUUGGCCUGGCAAUUAGAUUGAAGGAGGAGUAUGAACAUAUUGGUUUAUUCAACAACUUUUUCUUUGCAUAAAGUUUUCAAAUGAAAGGUAAGAAAUUAAAUCAAUUUUGGUUUAACACUUUUAUAGUGUUCAUUUUCGUUUAACAAAAACUAAUGUGACAUUUGUUUAUUUGUGAGGUAAUUCUGGUUUUGGACUAAGUUUACACUACCUUACAAAAUGGGAAGUGUCGUAAAGAACAAAUCUAUACACA